rnacentral:tRNA from 1 species
CGGGGAGUGGCGCAGUCUGGCAGCGCGCUUCGUUCGGGACGAAGAGGCCGGAGGUUCAAAUCCUCUCUCCCCGACCA